UACGUAGGGACCGAGCGUUGUCCGGAAUCAUUGGGCGUAAAGAGCGUGUAGGCGGCCACUUAAGUCUUGCGUGAAAUCUUGCGGCUCAACCGCAAGCGGUCGUGGGAAACUGGGUGGCUAGAGUGCGGGAGAGGGUAGUGGAAUUCCCGGUGUAGCAGUGAAAUGCGUAGAGAUCGGGAGGAACAUCUGUGGCGAAGGCGACUACCUGGACCAGCACUGACACUGAGGCACGAAAGCGUGGGGAGCAAACAGG
rnacentral:rRNA from 1 species